rnacentral:lncRNA from 1 species
AUGGAGCACGCCAACCAGCUCUCGGUGGAGCUCUUUGGACAGCGUAUGUUGGACGCAUACUCGGAUCCCUCGCGCCCGUACACAGGAGAGCUGAUUGGAGUGGGCUACCUUUUCGCCCAGACUGGCCAGGUCCUGGAGGACAUCCCAGAGGACACGGAGGGACCUCAGGACGAGCAGCAGGUGGAUGUGAUUGAGGAGGGGGAAGAGGAGGAAGGGCAGGAUGUUGACGAGGGCUUCCAGGAUCUGAUGUUUUACCUGGAAGGCCUCCUGCAAAAUCCAGUUCCGCAGCCGCCGGCGUCUACGGCUCAGCCACAAACGGAGGAGGUUUAUGUGGGCGAUGAUGGCACUCCCGGCUACCAGCAUGUGGUCGGACUGGCUGAACGUCUGGUCCAGCUGCGCUUGCUCAACUGUGUUUCUCAGAGGCAGGCGGAGGAGAAGGUGCAGUUGUGGCAGAGGCUGCCUGAGCGGGACAAAGCGCCACUCGUUUUUCCACCCAGGUUCAGGGACCAGUUGACACAUGGCCGGUUUAAAAAGCCAAAGUCCUCCCGUGCGCCGACAGAUUUACGGGCUGUGGUGGAGAGCUUGAGGAGAUGUCUCAGCAGUCAGUGGAGCGGACCAGCGCAGAGUCCAGGAGUCAGCUGCCUGGUCGAAACGAUCUCCAUUCUCCUGUGCAAGAUCUUUCCCCUGAACCGGACUAUAUCUGGUGUUCGAAUCAGCCGCUGGAGUGACAUCGUGUGUAACUACGGGUUCAUCAGGGAGAACGUGCUAAGUCACCCGAUGCUCUCCACAAAACUCCAGCUGUUUCAGAUCAACCAGAAAACACUGACGCAGUGGUGA